rnacentral:rRNA from 1 species
AGUGAACGCUGGCGGUAUGCCUAACACAUGCAAGUCGAACGGCAGCACAGUAACAGCUUGCUCUUACGGGUGGCGAGUGGCGGACGGGUGAGGAAGACACCGGAAUCUACUUUUUCGUGGGGGCUAACGUAGGGAAAUUUACGCUAAUACCGCAUACGACCUACGGGUGAAAGCAGGGGAUCUUUGGACCUUGCGCGAUUGAAUGAGCCGAUGUCGGAUUAGCUAGUUGGCGGGGUAAAGGCCGACCAAGGCGACGAUCCGUAGCUGGUCUGAGAGGAUGAUCAGCCACACUGGAACUGAGACACGGUCCGGACUCCUACGGGAGGCAGCAGUGGGGAAUAUUGGACAAUGGGCGAAAGCCUGAUCCAGCAAUACCGCGUGGGUGAAGAAGGCCUUCGGGUUGUAAAGCCCUUUUGUCGGGAAAGAAAAGCAGCAGGUUAAUACGGCGCUGUUAUGACGGUACCCAAAGAAUAAGCACCGGCUAACUUCGUG